rnacentral:rRNA from 1 species
UGUUACUUAUAAUAAAAAGAUUUUGGAAUAGUAUUAUUUAUGAAAUUUAACGGAUUUGGCGGCAAGAUAGCCACUUAGAGGAACCUGCCCUAUAAACGAUGAACCACGAAUAGUCCUACUUUUUCUAGUAUUCAGUUUGUAUACCGCUGUUGUCAGUUAGUUUCCUUAGAAAACUUUCAUGCAUGAAAAAUUCAACGACUUCAAGUAAAGGUGCAGCUUAUGAAAAAGAUAGAGGUGGGUUACAUUUAAUUGAAUAAAACGAAUAAAGUAAUUUAAAAAACUUUUGAAGGUGGAUUUAAUAGUAAAGUCAAAUAAGACUUGAUGAGAGCUCUAUCUUGUGUACACACCGCCCGUCGCUCGCGGGAAAA